AUGCCUUAAACUAAUGAGUAAGGAAAAUAACGAGCCGGGGUAACGCCUGGUUCCUCACUACUCAUGUGAGAAGAAUUUUUGAACGGGUACAGGUCGGCUGUUGGAGGACCCAUCUACUUAGUGGGACCUUUAUGUGGUUGAUCUGCCCG